rnacentral:rRNA from 1 species
ACGCUCGACACCUACGGGAGUCAGCAGUAGGGAAUAUUGGGCAAUGGGGGAAACCCUGGACCCAGCAACGCCGCGUGAGGGAAGAAGGUUUUCGGAUUGUAAACCUCUGUCCUAUGGGACGAAGGAAGUGACGGUACCAUAGGAGGAAGCUCCGGCUAACUACGUGCCCGCAGCCGCGGUAAUCUGAGCGGGCUGGCAAGGC